AUGGCGAGUUCUCCUUCUUCCUUGCUACACGGAGUUGCGAUCCUUGCUCUCAUAUGCUGCUCCUUGUCAUGCUCGGCGGCGGCCGGAGAUGUAGUUGCUCUCGACGGACGUCGUAAUCACUGGAAACCUCCGCCGACUCCGUUGCCAGGGAAGCAGCCCACUCCGGUCCCAACUCCGCCGACUCCGGUGCCAGGGAGACCGGCGACUCCAUGUCCUCCAGUCUCUGUUCCUCCGCCACCGCCAACGCCCGUGGGCAGAUACCCGGUGACCCCAACUCCUUCUACCCCUAUUUGUGGGCCGCCGCCGCCCCCGGUGCAGCGGGAGGUGUCGGCACUUUCGCCGCACCGCAAGACCCUACAGAAGGCUGUUAAGAACGUGCUUUAA
rnacentral:rRNA from 1 species